UGUUACAAUGACGAAAAGGGCACAAUUUAAGGCACCAGUAACCUUAGUACGAGUUUGCUUUACGUUUAAAAGUAACCGAAACGAGAGCGCGUUCGGCGCUCUGAUUGGUUGGUUUAUUCGAGUCGGCCAAUCAGAGCGCCAAACGCGCUAAGCUACGCGUAAACCAAACUCAUACUAAGGUUACGGAUCAUAUUAUAUUUAGAUAUCUACUUGAAAUGCAUAUAAAGGCACUGAGAACUCCGAAUAUAAAAAGGUCCUAUAAAUUUUUUGUUUAACAACCAUGUAUGCAAUAUUUUCCUAAUAUUAUUCUCUCUCAUAAACAACUGUGAUAUUUCUCCUACCUGGGGCCUUAGUCUGCUAUUACAAUUGUGUCAGCAGUGCGAGAGGGACGGAGCUAUACAACCUACAUAGCUCCGUCCCUCUCGCACUGCUCAGUGAUCGACCAUUCUGACACAAUUGUAAUAGCAGACUAAGGCCCCUGUUGUAUUGUAGUAGCCCAGUGAGCCAGCCUGGUCAUCGUGACGGUGUAUGUGAUAACUUGUUGCAGUGACUGUUUUAUAUUAAAUGUAUCUGAUAUUUC